GAUGAACGCUAGCUACAGGCUUAACACAUGCAAGUCGAGGGCAUCAGGAAGAAAGCUUGCUUUCUUUGCUGGCGACCGGCGCACGGGUGAGUAACACGUAUCCAACCUGCCCUUUACUCGGGGAUAGCCUUUCGAAAGAAAGAUUAAUACCCGAUAGUAUAAUGAUUCCGCAUGGUUUCAUUAUUAAAGGAUUCCGGUAAAGGAUGGGGAUGCGUUCCAUUAGGUUGUUGGUGAGGUAACGGCUCACCAAGCCUUCGAUGGAUAGGGGUUCUGAGAGGAAGGUCCCCCCACAUUGGAACUGAGACACGGUCCAAACUCCUACGGGAGGCAGCAGUGAGGAAUAUUGGUCAAUGGACGAGAGUCUGAACCAGCCAAGUAGCGUGAAGGAUGACUGCCCUAUGGGUUGUAAACUUCUUUUAUACGGGAAUAAAGUGAGGCAUGUGUGCCUUUUUGUAUGUACCGUAUGAAUAAGGAUCGGCUAACUCCGUG
rnacentral:rRNA from 1 species